rnacentral:miRNA from 1 species
UUGUGUCUGAGUGUACGCCUUGC